rfam:Triticum aestivum genome assembly, contig: Triticum_aestivum_CS42_TGACv1_scaffold_579405_7BL
CAACUACUCCCUCUGUCCCAAAUUUCUUGUCUUAGAUUUGUCUAGAUACGGAUGUAUCUAAUACUAAAAUGUGACUUGAUACAUCCGUAUCUAGACAAAUAUAAGACAAGAAUUUUGGGACGGAGGGAGUACUUU